AAAUAAGAAGCAAAAUAUUGCAUUUAGUUUCGACCUAAAAAAUUGAUUAUAUAUCCUUAUUUU
rnacentral:tRNA from 1 species